rnacentral:rRNA from 1 species
CACGUAGGCGGAUAUUUAAGUCAGGGGUGAAAUCCCAGAGCUCAACUCUGGAACUGCCUUUGAUACUGGGUAUCUUGAGUAUGGAAGAGGUAAGUGGAAUUCCGAGUGUAGAGGUGAAAUUCGUAGAUAUUCGGAGGAACACCAGUGGCGAAGGCGGCUUACUGGUCCAUUACUGACGCUGAGGUGCGAAAGCGUGGGGAACAAACA